UGCAAUCCAUGUUAUCUUCGUUGAAUAUUUCAUCAACAAAAACAACUUUGUCAACUCACACAUGUACAUGUACUCCUUGUAUAGAACAAAGUAGUAAUACUGUUAGUGUAUUAGCUAUCAGUUUCCCUAUCACUGUUAUACUAUCAAUAAUAAUGACAUCAAUUUAUCUUCAGUCAUAACUUAUUGUUGUUGCAUAUCCUCCAGAUCUGUACAAUCCUACAGUAAUACUAAUCAAUCAACAACAGCAGCUGAUUAUGAGAUUCCAUUAAAAAGCACUUCACUUGAAAUGAAUGACAAUAUGGCAUAUGGUCAUGUUAGUGUAGGUAAUAGAUCUACUAGUGGAACAACAUCAACAGUUUAUGAAACUGUUUAUGCAUAAACUCCAACUAAUGAAGUGUU